UCCUGUGUGAAUGCAAGUGUGAACACCYGCUGAAUUUAAGCAUAUAAGUAGG
rnacentral:rRNA from 1 species